rnacentral:lncRNA from 1 species
AUAUUAAUCCUUGUUUCUAUUUUCAUAAUAUGUGAAGUCUUGCUUGAGAAUGCUUUGGACACUUGGCUGUGGAAGGUAGAAUAGAAAUUACAACAAUAAAAUCAUAACUAUAAUAGAACACUAACUAAACUCUAAUUAGACCAUAAUAAUGGUAAGCAAGCUUUAAUCAAAUUCAAAGAAACCUCAAAGGAAUUACAAAGAAAUUAUAAGAAAUCUUAAAGAAAUAUUUAUAUGAUCACAAAUAUAUCUCAAAUACAUCUUAAUUUGAUCUUAAUUUAAUCCUAGUUAAAAUCCUAUUGGACUUCAUUCAAACUUUAGGCCAAAAACUAACCAAAUCUUAAAUCCUAAACAUAUUGUAAUAAAAUCCUAAAUCCUAAAUAAAAUCUUAAUCAAAUCCUAAAUCCUAAAUCAAACCUUAAUUAAAUCCUAAAUCCUAAUCCUAAACCAAAAUCCUAAUCAAAUUCUAAACUUUAAAUUACAUCCUAAUCAAAUUUUAAAUCCUAAAUCAAAUUCUAACCAAAUCCUAACCAAAUUCUAAUCAAAUCCUAAAUCCUAAAUCAAAUCCUAAUUCUAAAUCAAAUCCUAGUAAUUACUAAUGAACGAAGUAUUGAUAUUAACUCAAAAUUUUUAUACUUCUUAAUAAUUAAAUUGAAAAAAAUUAUAAAAAAAUUAAAAAAGAUCAAAAUUACCAAAUAGACGAUAGCCUCAAAAACGAGCUUGGAUAUUGGUCGGCCUCUUUUUUCGACCUUAAUGCCAAUCUUCUAGAACCAAUAUCUCUCUUUUUCACCAUUCGAUUGAUCUCAAAAUUUUCAUAUACAUAGGAAAAUAAGUCUAAUAUCUUCAAAUAUUAAUUUCACUCCAAUUCAACUAAUAGAUUGCAAGAAAUCUUAAAAAUCCUUACUAGAUCUAAAAUUCUACUUUUUGAGAUCUUGACCCACUUAAACCUCAAUAACCCUCAAUUCAACUAUUAGAUCGAGUUAAACUUCAUAGUACAUAUUAAGCACAACUAUAACCAUUAAUCUAUAAAAUUUCACAUAUAGAUUUAUUACAAAACUCUCAAAAUUGUCCAAAACGUCAAUCCUAUUUUAUUUCACAAAAAUCCAAGACAUCUGAAACAAACUUGACUUUGUAAAGCCCUUACAAAGUCAUUACGAAUCCAAAUCAUACAAAAAUAAUGCUUCUAAAAACCUUAUCUAGUCUACUAUCAAACCUUAUUCUUUGAUCUGCCAAAGAACCUCUGAAGUUAUUAUAGGUGCUGAGUUUUGUAUAUCAGAGUCUGAUUUUGACCUAGGUUGAUAAUCGGCCCUGCUUGGAUAUCAUAUUUUGUCUUUUUGAGUUAUUUUUUUAUUAAAAAUAACUCCUAACUUCUUCUUAUAAAUGUUUAUAUUCUUUAUUUUUUUAAUCUAUUUUAUUUUGCCUUAUUUAUGGUCCAACAAAAUAAAUAGAAGACCAUUUUGUAAAAGGUAAUAUUGGUAUUUUUUAGUUUUACUACCCUUUUAACUAUUAACUAUAUUUUUAAGAUAAUUUGUUUUAAUACUUUGAAUUAAGAUCUCUUAUAUUAUAAUAAUUUCUAUACUCUUUCAGCUAUUAGUUAUAUUACAUCAUGACAUCCAUCUCUCCUAAAUGUAAGUAUCUUCAAGCAUGCACCAAUGAUUCUUCAAUAUAUUGAUGUAGAAUGUUUUUCAUCUUGGUCUGAUUCUUGAUAUUCAAUAUACUUUUCUAUUUCAAUCUCAAUAUCUUAUAUUGGAAUUUGUUCUUCAUUAAAACAAAUAUCUUCAUUUCUUUGUUUAAAUAACUUGAUUCGUUUGCCUACUAUAGGUACCUUCAAUUCUGUACCAUCAAGUUCUUGUAAUAAGUAUGUUCCAUUGUUGUAUGUCCUUUUGAUAAUAUAAGGUCCAAACCAUCUCUUUGCAAAUUUCUUUGUAGUAAUAUGUUGACUGUCCAAGCUACUAUCAUAAAUUAAUAUCCAAUCACCAUCUUUAAUUGCCUUUGAUCGUAGCUGAUGUUUUUUUAUCAAAUCUUUCUUUAUUCAUUUCUCUUAUUUCUUUCAAUUUUUUUAUUGCUACUUCAAUACCAUUAGGCCUUCUUUCUAAUUGUUGAAUUUGUAAUGCUAAAAGUUCUUCUCUGUUGAGAUCAUUCUUCCAAGAUAAUAUAUCCCAUGUAGGUACUACAUCUUCUAUUGGCAUUAUUGGUUUUUGUCCAUAUAUUAAUUCAGAAGGCAUAUAACCUAUUACUGAACUAUGAGUUGUACGAUCUGUCCAUAAUUCAAAUGGUAGUAGUCUAGGCCAUUCAUGUAUUUUGCCAUUGCAUGCCUUUACUAAUGCCUUAACAAUAGGUGAAUGCCUACACUCACUUUUACUAUUAUUUUUUGGAUUAUAUGAUGUUAUUAAAGAAAGUUUAAUUCCUAUUUUAUUAAAGAAUUCUUGUGCUUCUUUUGUAUCCAAUUCAUCCGUAUCUGCCAUGAUUUUUUCAAUACAACCAUAGCGACAAAUAACUUCUUCUAAUAGAAAUCAACAUACACUUUUAAUAUCCUUUGUUCUUAAUGCUCGUCGUUCAAUCAUAUUUGAUAAAUUUUCUUGCAAGAUCAUACAAAAUUUGCUUUGUCUUUGCACAUUCUCUUUCACCAAUAUUUUUUUCUUAAUUAAGUAAAUGUUCAAAUAUCUUCAUGUCCUACCCAUAAACUUUCAUGAAAUUCUUUAAUAAUCAUUUUUUAAGCUUCUAAACCACAUAUCACCUUUUGUGGUACUUCUCUUCUUUUUUUUUUGGAUGCUUCCAUAAACAUCCAUUAUAUGAAAAAUAUCCUUAGGCUUUCUUACGGAUUUUUUUAAAUUCUUAAUUUGUUCAACCUUCUUGUCGCUUUAAUGUGUUCAAAUACUCUCUAACAUCUUUCCAUUUAUUUUCAUAUAAAUCUCUUAAAAAUAUUUCUAAUGAUAUAUUCAAACAUACAUCUUUUUCUUUUGAUAAUGCAUUAAUAUAAAAUAUUUUAUCCACAUCAUCUUUCAAAUCAAUCAUCUCUUCUUCAUCAUAAUACCUUGCUCUUGAUAACAUAUCUGCAAUUGAAUUUUCUUUCCCUGCAAUAUGUUUAAAUUCUCAAUUCAUAGAUUUGAUAUAUACUAUCUACCUUAACAUAAUAAUAUCAAGAGUUGAAUAACUUGUAAUCAUGCCUAAUAAAGGUAGACAAUCUAUUUCUAUAACUACUCAUGCCUCAAUCAAGUACUCUUUUUCAUUUUUCAUAGCUAUUACUACAUCCCAUAAUUCUCUUUUGAUUUGUACAUAAGCCCUUUACUUGGCAUUCAAUACCUUUGCUCUAAAUCUUACUACAUAUCUAUUCCCUUAUUUAUCAUCUUGUCCAACUGUCCAACCUAUUCCAAUUGGACUUGCAUCAACUGUUAAUACCACUGGCCUUCUACUUUUAUAAUUUACUUUCUUCAAAGUUGCAGAUGAAGAAAGAAGUUCUUUUAAUUUUUCCAUAGCUAUAUGUUGUUCUUCUUUCUAUUAAUUUUUUUGAUUCUUUCUUAACAAUUCAUACAAUGGAUAUACUAUAUGUGUAUAGUGAGGUAUCCAUAUAUGAUAGAAAAUACAUGCUCCUAAAAGUCUUCUCACUUUUACUGUAUUUGUAUAUUCUUUCAUCUUUUUUAUAAUAUCAAUGUUUUUUAUACUUGGCUUACAUCUAUAUGACUUAUACAUGUGUUCUACCACCAAAACCUCUUUUAUUCCAAAUAGUGAUUUUGUCCCCAAUAAGGUUAAAUGAAUCUCUUUUAACCUUUUUAAAAUCUUUUCACAAUCUUUAAUGAGAUCUGCCACAAACUUCCUACAUCUUUUUGAAUCCAAAGUCUCAUCUUUUCUUUCUUCUUUAUAUCCCUUAAUUGAUACAUCAUCUAAGAAAGACAUUGUUAUUCUUGGAAUAAAAUCUCUUAACACCUUAUGCAUUCCAUUCAUCAUAUGUGCCACAAAAUUUGUAGCCCCUUGUGGUAAGGUACACAUUCUAACCAAUCCUAAUGGUGUCUUCAUAAUUAUCAAAUCUUUGCUUUACAUUGUCAAUUGAAAUUAAUCAUAUCUUCAAUAAAGAUCUUCCAUAGAAUAAAUUAUUCUUCCUACAAAUGCCUAUAUAAACUCAUCUAUAAUUGGACUUGAGGCCAUGUUUCUAACAGUUAUCUUAUUUACCAGUUUCAUAUCUUGAAUAAACCUCAAUGGCUCAUUUUUCUUAGGUACCAUGAACCAUCGAUUGAAAUAUGGUGCAAUAGAUGGUUCUAAAAUUUCCAUCUUAAUCUUUCUAUUAAGUAAUUCAACUAGCUUUGGCAAAUGGACCUUUGAAACUAGAAUUGGCAUCAAAUUCCAUGCUUUAUGUGGAAUUAUAAAAAUAACCAUAGAAGCUACAAUACUUGGAUCAAUGCACCCUAUUUCAUAUGAUUCAAAUAAAAAUGCCUUACCAUGUCAUGAAAGCAUUUCUUUAAAACAUCUCUCCUCAUCUCUUCUUAAGAAUUUAUUACAUCUAAUUUUCAAACCAUCUAAUGUCAAAUCAUCAUUGAAUUUAUGACCUAUUUUCCUUAGAUCUCUUAAGUUUGGUUGUAUAGAAGUUUUUUUAAUCCUUUCUUCAAAAUUCGAUGGUAGUGGCAAUGCUACUGGUUUAAUCUUUCUUGCAACAGUCUUAUAUUUUGUAUUUAUAUUCACUUCAUACUUAUCCAUAUGUUCUUUUAUUCCAUCAUAAAAUUUCUUAGAAUACACAUUUAUUGCCUUAUCACGUCUUUCAACAUCUUCAUUCAAUAAUAUUUGUAAAUCAUCCAUAAUAUCUUAAAAAUAAGAUUUUUAAAAUACCUUUAAUAUGUAUUCAACUUUAUUAAUCUCACCACAUUUUUUUAACUCGUGCUCUAUAUUUUUGAUAUAUUUUUUAUCUAUGAUUCUAAAAUUAUUUAUAUUUUUGAAUAUGAUAUAUCCAUCUCGUGAUAAUCCUAUAAUAUCUUCAUCCCUUCUACUAGGUGGGAAGCCUUGAUUCUUUUUACCAUCGCAAUUCUGCUUUACAAUGGCAUCUAAUAAAAAUCCUUUUAGUCUUCAAGAUCUUGAAAUUCUUUGUGUAUCUUUGGCAAAUAAUGCUCUCUCAAACUAUCCCGAUUUCUUCUAUGAUUUGCACAAAUUGUUAAAAAUUGCACCACCUUUUUUUUGUCUUGACUUCUUAUCUUUGCACAAGCGAAUUCAUCAUCCAUAACCUUUGUCUCUAUUUGUGUAUCAGUAAUAUAUGGUUGUUCCAAUAUAAUAGGAUAUGUAGACAUGUCUUGUACAAAGAAAUUUUGUUCAUGAAUAAUAUCUCCUAUCGUCACCUUGAUAUUUGGACAUGCUCCAUACAAAUCUUCUUUUGAAUUAUUUUUUGCUCUUAUCAUCUACCCAUGUUCAGUAUCAAUAGGCCAUUUUCUCUUAUUAUAGAAUUCUUUUGACAUCAGAUUGAUUUAGAACCAUGAUCAAUCAAUGCUACAACUAGUUCUUUUAAAUUCUCUAAUUUUAUCAAAGUUUUUAUAGUAGCCCUUGCCCAAUGACUUCUAGAAUAAUGGCUAAAAGCUUGAAUGACAUCUUUCUUUUCUACAAAUCUUACUCACAAGACAUCUCCAAAAUUUUAUAUUUUAUCUUUUUCAUCUUCAUUGCUUUCCAUUGAUCUUGUUUCUUGUGUAUUUGAUAUCAUAGAGUCUCCCAUAGAUUGUCAUUUUUUCUUUAUUGUAUCAAUAAUAACUUCAUGAAACUCACUCUUUAUAAUUCCUAGAAUUUCAUCAAUUGUGAAUUCAACCUUUUCACUUAAAAUCCGCUCUUCCAAUAUCUUCUUCAAAUCUGUAGUAGCUUCAAUAUCUAAUUGUAAUUUAUAAGUAUGAGCCUUUAUUUUUUCUUUUCCAAUUUUCCUUUCUUUUGUGGAAAUAUUCUUUGUUGUCUCUUCAUAUAUAGGAUUCUUUUGUUGUUGUACUUUUUCUCUCCUUGUAGUUCUUUUUGAAGGCCCUUUAUUAUUUUCAUCUCUCUUUUAUUUUUCUUCUAUUAAUACUUCAUGUUGACUCCUUCCAAUAUGAACGUGCAUAGAUAAUCUAUCUACUAGAUCAUCCCAUCCAGUAAUUUAUUGAAUAUUAUUACCAACAAGUUUUAAAUCAUCUCUAAUAAUUUUUUUUCUUUCAGCAUAACUCAUUGCACUUGUCUAUAAAGAAUUAGAUUCUUCUAGAAACUCAAGAUUUAUAUUUAAAUAUUUACUAGGAUUUGCUUCCAUUCAAUAUGUUGAUACUUCAUUGCUUGAGAUUGUAUGAACUUUAAAAGUAUCUCUGACAAACACCUUCAUUCCUCCUUUACCAAAACUUAUUUCUAAUUUUUUUCUACUUUCUUUUAAGUGUAUCAUACCAUCUUUAAAAAAAUAAAAAUCCUUUACAUAGUACUUCUAUAAAAUCUUCACAUUUUCUCUUUGAAUGAUCUAUGCUAUCACACCACAUGCAUCUAUGCACUACACCUUCUAUUGGCCCUAGUCUUUGUUUUGUUGAUACUCUUGAUGAUUGACCCUUCUCUUCAAAUUUCUUAAAUUUUAUUUGUAAAUUUUUCAUCUCACAUAUGAUUUCAUCGAUGUCCAUUUCUUCUUUCUUUGAUGUAGCCAUUGAAGAUUGAAUCAAAGAUGUUGGAUAGGUAGUAGAUACUUUUAUCUUAGAUGCUUGUAAUGAUCUUUGAAUAUCCAUCCUAUCUUUUUUCUUUUCUCUUUUUGCCAAAAAUCCUACUGCCUCUUCUACUUCUUUUCAAUUUUUUUUCAAUCCUUCAUCUUCUUUUAUAUCUUCAAGCAAGAUUUCCAACUUCUCUUACAACUGUCUAUGAGUCGCUUGAAGAAAGAGCUCCACCUUACUUCGAUCCAACAAUUGCCUUUCCUUCUUUGAUAAAGAAAAAUAUUGCUUUUCAAACUUCCUUAAUAAUUCUUUUGCUAGAAGAUCCUUCUUUGGCCGUUCAAUCCAUUCAAAAAAGAAUUUUUUGUAACCUUGUCACUAUCUUCCAAGAAAAAUUCAUUCUUCAAUGCUCGAGAAAAUUUCUUCCAUGAACCUCCAAAAAUGUCCUAUAAGAGACUUUACCUAACUUCUUAUAUCUCUUGCAAAGGCUAAUUCAAAUAAUUGAACCAUCUUUCUUUCUUAAAUAUGCUUCAAUUUUAUUUCCUUUACAUAAUACCUUAAAUAUUUUGUAAUAUAUUUUCCUUCAAAUUGAUUGAUCUUAUCCACAACUUCUUGUAAUGCUUUGUUUGCCAUACCUUCUUUGCAAUCUUUAACUUGUUGAUGUUGUAUGAAUAAGGCAAAAGCCUCAAACAUGUUUAUAGAAUUAGGAUCAAAAUACAUACCUUAUCUUCUACUAGUUCCACCACUUCUAAUUUCAAUUGAUGCACCAUCCAUAGUUCCUCCUUCAACUCUCUUGCCUUCCUUCUCCAUGAUUCAAAUAAUCCAAAAAAAACCAAAUACCUUCUACCUCAAGCGUUUUACAUCAGAUUCACCAAAUAUAUCAUAAUAUGUGAAGUCUUGCUUCAGAAUAAUUUGGAUACUUAGCUGUGGAAGGUAGAAUGAAAAUUGCAACAAUAAAAUCCUAACUCUAAUAGAACAUUAAUUAAAUUCUAAUUAGACCAUAAUAAUGCUAAGCAAGCUUUAAUCAAAUUUAAAAAAAUCUCAAACGAAUUACAAAGAAAUAAUAAGAAAUCUUACAGAAAUAUUAUAAUAAUCACAAAUAUAUCUCAUAUACAUCUUGAUUCAAUCUUAAUUUAAUCCUAGUUAAAAUCCUAUUGGACUUCAUUCAAACUUUAGGCCAAAAACUAACUAAAACUCAAAUCCUAAAUAAAUCCUUAUAAAAUCCUAAAUCCUAAACCAAAUCCUAAUCAAAUUAUAAAUCCUAAUCCUAAAUAAAAACCUUAAUCAAAUCCUAAAUCCUAAACCAAAUCCUAACCAAAUCCUAAUCAAACCCCAAAUCCUAAACCAAAUCCUAAUCCUAAAUCAAACCCUAGUAAUUCCUACAAUAGAUUUAAACCUCAAUUACUAAUGAAUGAAGUAUUGAUCUUAACUCAAAAUUUGUACACUUUUUAAUAAUUAAGUUGGAAAAGAGCACACAAAAAUUAAAAAGGAUCAGAAUCACUAAAUAGACGAUGACCUCAAAAACAAGCUUAGAUAUUAGCUUGCCUCAUUUUCUGACCUUGAUGCCAAUUUUUUAGAGCCAAUUUUUUAGAGCCAAUAUUUCUUCUUUUCACCAUUUGAUUGAUUUCAAAAUUCUCAUAUACAUAGGAAAAUAAUUUUAAUAUCUUCAUACAUAAAUUUCAUUCCAAUCUAACUAGUAGAUUGUAAGAAAUCUUAAAAAUCCUCACUAGAUCUAAAAUUCUAUU